rnacentral:misc_RNA from 1 species
GUGAAUCAUCGAAUCUUUGAACGCAAAUUGCACUCCCUGGCAUUCCGGAGAGUAUGCCUGUUUGAGGGUAGGUUUAAAUAAAAAUCGAGGCGUUGCCCUUUUGUGACCCAUAGGAAUUGGGCAACCUUUGACCUUUUAAAAGGUUUAAGUGACCUAAAAUUGAUACCUUGUGCAUCCCAGACGUACAUAAGAAUAUUUUUUUAACGGUCCGGUGUUGCCAACUUUUAUUAUGUAUGACCAUGUUGAUUGUGGCAUCGUACCGAUAAU